rnacentral:rRNA from 1 species
UAGGGAAUCUUCGGCAAUGGGGGGAACCCUGACCGAGCAACGCCGCGCGAGUGAAGAAGGUUUUCGGAUCGUAAAGCUCUGUUGUUAAGGAAGAACGAGUGUGAGAAUGGAAAGUCCAUACUGUGACGGUACUUAACCAGAAAGGGACGGCUAACUACGUGCCAGCAGCCGCGGUAAUACGUAGGUCCCGAGCGUUGUCCGGAUUUAUUGGGCGUAAAGCGAGCGCAGGCGGUUAGAUAAGUCUGAAGUUAAAGGCAGUGGCUCAACCAUUGUAGGCUUUGGAAACUGUUUAACUUGAGUGCAGAAGGGGAGAGUGGAAUUCCAUGUGUAGCGGUGAAAUGCGUAGAUAUAUGGAGGAACACCGGUGGCGAAAGCGGCUCUCUGGUCUGUAACUGACGCUGAGGCUCGAAAGCGUGGGGAGCGAACAGG